AACUUCCCUUUGAAAACUUUCCAUGAAACUUUUAUUUUUUUUGAAAGAAUUUCUGUAAAACAAAAUCCCUUACUCGGCACUUCUCUCCUCUACAUCUCCCCACUUCUUUCCCACCACUACCCACGCCGAACUCACCGCCGUCGUUGCUCCCAUCGCCUCUUCUCCUGUGUCCCAUCUUAUCUCGUCUCCUGCGUGCCAUCUUCUCUCCUCUCCUGCGUGCUAUCUUCUCUCCACUUUACCAGCCAAGUCGUCGACUUAUGUACCACUUAGUACCUCCACCGCCUCCUCUCCUGGGGCAAAGAAUCGCGCUCACCGCCACUAUCGUCGACUUGCCUCCUGCUGGAAACCGCUAAGAGGAAUGCAGAAGUUCAAGAUUGAGUUAAAGAAGACAUUGUUUAGAGAUGAAAAUGCAUUGGGGGAUGGACAUGACCGGGUUGUAGAUGUUGCACCGAGUGAGCAGCUCAAAAUGGAGACGAAGAAAGUGGUCGGGUGGACAAAUGCACGUGUCCAUUAUUUGUGAUUACAAAAGGAGGGUGUAGGUUUGCUUCUGCUGCUGCUGCUCUUCUGUAUGUUGUUUCUGCUUUGCUUCGGCUGCUGCUCUAUAUGUUGUUGUUUCCACUUCCUUUAUGUACAUCAAUUGGUUCAUAUGAAGCAAGUUUCAAGGACAAGUCUUCUUAUCGAUCUGCUUGUUUCAGCUGCUGAAGGUCUAGAUUAUCACACUUAAUUUCCAACAUGGUGUUGUUCUUAGGAUGCAUGUGAAAGUUGUCGGGCUCUGCCAAUUUUUUCUCUGUAUAUAGUUUGUUAAAAUGCUCGUGUUAGUUGUCUAUGUUUACUUAUACUGUUAUAUAAUAUUAAAUAUUGAUUUCUUUACUUGAAAAUUUUGUGAAUUACAAAUGAAUAGAGUUUACUUUAUAUUCAAGAUCGAUAUUCUAGUCUUUA